rnacentral:rRNA from 1 species
UGCCAGCAGCCGCGGUAAUACGUAAGUCGCAAGCGUUAUCCGGAAUUACUGGGCGUAAGGCGCGCGUAGGUGGAUUGGUCAGUCAGAUGUGAAAGCCCCGGGCUCAACCUGGGAACUGCACCUGAUACUGCCAGUCUUGAGUACAGUAGAGGGCAGUGGAAUUUCCUGUGUAGCGGUGAAAUGCGUAGAUAUAGGAAGGAACACCAGUGGCGAAGGCGACUGCCUGGACUGAUACUGACACUGAGGUGCGAAAGCGUGGGGAGCAAACAGGAUUAGAUA